rnacentral:tRNA from 2 species
GCCCCGAUAGGCCAAUCGGUAGAGCCGGCGGCCUCAAAAGCCGUUCAGUGUGGGUUCGAAUCCCACUCGGGGCA